UGGUUCGUCCUUCCUGGAGAAUCUGUUCGGGGACUGGGUGCAGAAGGGCACUGUGGUCAGACUGGACAUCCGACACUGGCUGCACCGCUGGGAUGCUGUUGUCAUCAAACAGAGCCAUGCCAAGUAUGGGGUGUUCAUGAGUGCCCUUGCAGGUGCAGUGCUGGCAUACUACAAGGACGGUAUGAUGCUCCUAAUCCAGGCAGUCAGGAAGGGCAACCAGGAGUUGUACGCCAGUCUUUCAGACGAGGACAUGAUAGCCUUCCUCAAACCUCACCAGAUCAGGUCCUAUGUCAGACGGAUCACCCGUGGAGUUGAGGAGACAGCUUCAGCAACUGAGUCCAUCAUUACAGAGUUCAGUGGACCUGCAGGCCUUGACAUUGAUGGAAUCCACCUGUUCAAAUCAGCACAGGCAGUGGAUUCUCACUGGGCAACUCCAAGCAAGCAUCUUUGUUGUAUGCAGGUGGGUAAACAUUUUUGAACUAAUCAUUGUAAAAUCAUACAAACUCAAACUCACAGACACCAUAAUAAAUAAGCAAUGUAUGUUUUAUAGGACCCCCCCGGCAUACGGCUGUACGUGUCAGUGAAGGUUGUGAUGCUGAAUGGUGUCCGCCUGAACAAGUACAGGUGUCGGCGAGGCAGUAACUCCUUGGAGGGCUUGCACUCACACCUGUACAAGGCCAUUCCCUCACAGAGAUGUGGAGUUAUGCCAUUCCAAGUGUAUCUGAUUGCAUUUGCUGUGCAGUGGAACAGCUGCAUGGAAUCACUCAGGGUUGCUGGUGGUCAUGGCAGGCAGACGUGGUGUAUGGACCCGUGGCAGAUUCAGCACCUGAAUCAGCAGGCUGAGGUGCUCUUCGGUAAAGAGCAUGUCCUCGAGCCCAACUUUGCCGCUCCAAUGCCCUACCCUGCUGUAUACAAGGACCCAGACGAGGAGGAGCUCCUUGGAGUAGAGUAUGCCAUGUGCCAGUCAACCAGCUUCACUGCAAAGGAUUACUAUGCCCAGCAAGUUGAGGAAGAGCAGUCCCGUGAAGAAGAGGAGACGGCUGAACAAAGUGAGGACAAGCUGGCAGAUGAGGGUGUGGACAUGGGUGCAGAGUCAGAGGAGGAUCCUAUGGACACUGUCAGUGACAAACAUGUCAUCCUCACUCAAUCAGAACAGGUGGAGGAGGAGGACAGUCCUGCUCUGCAGGAUGUGCUGAUGACCCAGAGCCAUCUGCAUCUUCCUGGGCUCGAGGAAGUGGAAGCCUUGGCCCUGCUCAUUUUAGAAUUGGCAGACAACAGUGACCGUCACCUAGUGCCAGCUGACCUACAGUCGUGGCCAAAAGUUUUGAGAAUUACAUAAAUAUUAGUUUUCAAAAAGUUUGCUGCUAAACUGCUUUUAGAUCUUUGUUUCAGUUGUUUCUGUGAUGUACUGAAAUAUAAUUACAAGCACUUCAUACGUUUCAAAGGCUUUUAUCGACAAUUACAUGACACUUAUGCAAAGAGUCAGUAUUUGCAGUGUUGGCCCUUCUUUUUCAGGACCUCUGCAAUUCGACUGGGCAUGCUCUCAAUCAACUUCUGGGCCAAAUCCUGACUGAUAGCAACCCAUUCUUUCAUAAUAACUUCUUGGAGUUUGUCAGAAUUAGUGGGUUUUUGUUUGUCCACCCGCCUCUUGAGGAUUGACCACAAGUUCUCAAUGGGAUUAAGAUCUGGGGAGUUUCCAGGCCAUGGACCCAAAAUUUCAACAUUCUGGUCCCCGAGCCACUUAGUUAUCACUUUUGCCUUAUGGCACGGUGCUCCAUCGUGCUGGAAAAUGCAUUGUUCUUCACCAAACUGUUGUUGGAAG
ensembl:lncRNA